UAAGCUUAGGGCACAUAAGGUUUUCACAAAAAGUGGGCCUGCCGGCGUAAUAAACUGCAUUCCACUAUCUGCAUCGUCCUUCUGAGUGAGUUUGUUUCCCGGAAGGCGUGGCUACAUUUGGUGCACUGGCCGGGAAACUCCUCACUUUGAGACAAGUUCCAUUUGGGACGACUCCGAGGCUUUGCGGCUUGAAUCUUCUAGAGGGCGGAAGGUGCCUUGCCCUUCUGGAAGGAUUCUGCGUCUCAACGCUGGGGACUUUCACCUUAGCAGGCAGUGGACAGCAGCAGGGGAACUGAGUGCUCAGGUCAAUGCUGCCUCUCAGCACAGACAAAAACCUCUGGGGAUUCAGCUGAAAGGCACGCUGCCCUUUGAACACCUGGGAGUGGACUUCACUGAAAUGAAACCUCACCAACACUACCGUUACCUGCUGGUCAUGGUAUGUACGUUCUCGGGAUGGGUAGAAGCUUUUCCUACCCGGACUGAAAGAGCGUCAGAAGUAGCCCUGUGCCUGCUUAGGGAAAUAGUUCCCAGAUUUGGAUUUCCUUCCAGCACUGGAUCAGACAAUGGUCCGGAUUUCAUAGCUGAUAUAGUACAAGAAGUAAGCAAAACUUUAAGCAUCAAACGGAAACUGCACACUGCGUACAGGCCCCAGAGUUCUGGGAUGGUGGCACGGACCAACCGGACACUUAGAGAGGCACUCUCCAAGUGGGUCAUAGAGACUGACUGCUCCUGGGUGGACUUGCUUCCGACGGCUCUGCUCAGACUCAGGAUGACCCCGCAGUCCCAAGGCUGUUCUCCACACGAAAUUGCGUAUGUGAGGCCCCCUCCCAUAAUAAUACGGGUGUCAACAAAUUUGCCUCAGGUAAGGAGAGGGAUAGGAUUUCGCAGCAGAUAGAACUGGGUAAGGUAAUAAAUCAGGUAACUGAGUCUGUAUAAGAAAGGGUGCCAUUCCCCCUUGGGGAAGAGAUUCAUGAGUUUACUCUUGGUGACCAAGUAUGGGUCAAAGAUUGGAAACGAGAUUCACUAGCCCCUCAGUGGAAGGGCCCUUAUACCGUUAUUCUAAUUACCCCUACUGCAGUGAAAGUUGCAGGUAUUGCCCCUUGGAUCCAUCAUAUGAGGGUGAAGUGAACAUACCACGCAGACCCAGAAAACGCUGAGUGGACUGUACAGAGGGACCCCGCUGACCGUCGAGAGACCAAGAUCAUCCUUAGAAAGAAGAAGGAAAGAAGAUCCUGGACGAGCCCCUUGAGGAUGAAGCCACACGAUCAACUCCUGCUGCUUGGUCUCACCAACGUGCACAUUCCUACGCGGACUUCCACAAUACCUCCCGCUGUUGGGUACGCGGGGCUAUGCUUCUUCCUGUGAUGGAUGGAGUUCCCUGGUGGGUGUCACCACUCUGCCAAGGAAAUUUUAAACCACUCUGCAUUUUUUGGGACAACAAAAAGAGACUUUGCUCUCUCUUGUCAAUCAUAAUCUCUCCCUGCUCUCUUGGUUUUAGCCAGACCUAACAGUCAAUAGACUCAGGUCAUGGGGUCACUCACAUAUUAUGUAAACACCAGUUCAUUAAAGUAACAGAAGCGGUAAUUCAAAUAAAAUGGUUUUGCACAUGCUCACAGCUGCUCAAGGAGGGACCUGUGCUACAGUUAAGGUUGAAUGCUGUGUAUACAUUCCUGAUUCAUCUGGCGAUGUAUCAGCUGCUUUCGACAUCAUGAAAAACCAGGUAAAAACAAUGUCAAAUGAAAACAUUCCUUCCUGGACUUCGGUACUAUCUUGGGUGAAGGGUGAUUGGCGAAAAACUAUAUUUACCACUGUUAUAGUUGCCCUGAUAGUUCUACUCUGUGGACGCUGAAUUUUACAAUGUAUUAUGAACUUUGCAACCCAAAGGUUGGUGUCGUUCCCCCAAACUGGCGGUCGGAGAGCCAGGGUGCAAUAUAUCCUUAUGAAUGAUGCUCAUACUAUGAGUUAAGAGCAUCAAGAGGGGGGAAUGAAGGAAGAAACAGAACAGGCUCUAUCUUGAAAGCAGGACUCCAUCUUGGGUCAGACUGUGGACUCUGAGCUAUAUGCCCACUAUCUAUGGAAACGAUAUACCAACUGAAAAACCAGGCCCCCUGGAUGGAAGAGCCCCAGGGCUCUCCAUCACCUAAAAGAAUACUCUAUUUGUGUAACCGAAUAGAAUCAUACAUUCCAUUAUGCUUUAUUGGUAUGACCACAAGCCUAUUGAUAAUUGUCACUGUUAACUACCUAGGCUUUAGGCAUAUGAAUUACGGGUUAACUUUGAUUGUAUCUUUCUUUUUCCUUUGUGCAGACUAGUUUCAGGGAAUUUGGGGAGGAGGGUUUGGGGACAUAUGCUUAGGGUAUAAGGUUUUCACAAAAACGGGUCUGGGUCCUUGGCUAAGAGGAGACUCUGCCUUGGGCCCGCCGGUGUAAUAAACUGCACUCCACUA